GGCACCGCCGCACGCCGGGGAGGCAGCGUCAGGCUGGCGACCAGGGGGCCCGGAGCCAGCCCCAGGCCUGCGGCUGGCCACUCAGGAGCUGCUAACCUUUUCCAAGGAAAGGUCUAGCUGGGUGCCAGCGGCUGAGCCUCCUGGGGGCGCGUUCCCUUGGGUAAGCCCUCUUAGCGGCCCGUGUCACCUGCUGGACACAGCCUGAGACGGGAGGAAGGAGCCUUGGGCGAACUUCCCUUGCAUCAUUUGCUGAACACCCUGCGGCACCCCCGGGAGUCUUACUCUGCCCAUCUGCACAAUAGGCACCCCCUGGCCUCAUCUCACCGGGCCAGUGACAGUCCGACCACAUUGCUGUUCCACGGCACCCAGAUGCACUGAGCUUUUGGAGGUGUUUCCUAUGUAGUUGGGAGCUUGUGCAUCCAUGCAAGAGGGGUACCGAUCUGACGAACAACAGAGCUGACCCAUGGCCGAACCCCAACAGGACAUGAGGGAGAAGCCGGCAGGGGAUCUUAAUCCGACAGGUUCAGCAGAGGAAAGUGCUAUUAUCUGCGGUGGGCAGCAGGCCAAGCUGCGGAGGGUCCUGUGCUCUGUCUGCCUGCGGUGAAUAUAAACAAGGCUCCAAUCCACAGCUGCCAGCUGACCCAGGGGAUGCCAAACCUGAGGACACCUGUGUCGGUGAUCUAGAGCUGGUGCUUAAAGUCAGAAUUCAGAGUCCCAGAGAAAAUGACUUCAUUGAAGUUGAACUGAACAGAGGAGAGCUGAGUUAUCAGAAUCUACUAAAAGUCAGUUGCUGUGAACUGGGGAUUGAACCAGAGCAAGUGAAGACGAUCAGAAAGCUACCAAACACACUGCUCAGAAAGGACAAAGACAUUCUAAGACUACGGGACUUUCAGGAAAUAGAACUCAUCCUAAUGAAAAACAGAAGCUCUGAAUUGGUAGAAUACACACCAUCCCUGACAGAGAAGCCCUGCUCCAACAGCAAUGCUGCGAAACUGACCUAUUAGAAAAUCCCAGAAAUGAAAUACCGGAAUCAUUGUUUUGUAAAUAACCAAGUCGGAAUGCAUGUACCGGUUUGCUAACUUCAUGUGUGUACUUUGGAAAAUUGUUCCCUCAUCUCAAACUUCUCUGGGCAGGGAGAAAUUUCAAAGUGCUUUGACAAAGAGCUAUUUUUUAAAAAUUGUACAGGGGCACCUGGGUGGCCUGGUCAGUGAAGUGUCUGCCUUCGGCUCAGGCAU